ACGGGAGGCAGCAGUGGGGAAUAUUGGACAAUGGGGGAAACCCUGAUCCAGCGACGCCGCGUGAGUGAAGAAGUAUUUCGGUAUGUAAAGCUCUAUCAGCAAGGAAGAAAAUGACGGUACUUGACUAAGAAGCUCCGGCUAAAUACGUGCCAGCAGCCGCGGUAAUACGUAGGGAGCAAGCGUUAUCCGGAAUUACUGGGUGUAAAGGGAGUGUAGGCGGGACUGUAAGUCAGAUGUGAAAUAUGCCGGCUCAACUGGCAGACUGCAUUUGAAACUGCGGUUCUUGAGUGAAGUAGAGGUAAGCGGAAUUCCUAGUGUAGCGGUGAAAUGCGUAGAUAUUAGGAGGAACAUCAGUGGCGAAGGCGGCUUACUGGGCUUUAACUGACGCUGAGGCUCGAAAGCGUGGGGAGCAAACAGGAUUAGAUACCCUGGUA
rnacentral:rRNA from 1 species